CUAGAUAAGGGUUCUUGGCCACUCACAGCCUGGGGACUCUCAUUUUGCAUUAGCACAUUACAAGCAGACACUUUAAGCACUUCAAUGAGAUGAAACAGUUAUAGUGCCUACAGGUUCCAUUUAACUCAAUUAUUGAAGGCUAACAUGAAUCUAUCUUAGAAAUCCCAUUCAUUGCAAACUUUGCUGGGCUGAGCAUAUCAACAGGUAAAGUAAGUUUGUG